CCUACGGGGGGCAGCAGUGAGGAAUAUUGGUCAAUGGACGAGAGUCUGAACCAGCCAAGUAGCGUGAAGGAUGACUGCCCUAUGGGUUGUAAACUUCUUUUAUAUGGGAAUAAAAUGUUCCACGUGUGGGAUUUUGUAUGUACCAUAUGAAUAAGGAUCGGCUAACUCCGUGCCAGCAGCCGCGGUAAUACGGAGGAUCCGAGCGUUAUCCGGAUUUAUUGGGUUUAAAGGGAGCGUAGGUGGAUUGUUAAGUCAGUUGUGAAAGUUUGCGGCUCAACCGUAAAAUUGCAGUUGAAACUGGCAGUCUUGAGUACAGUAGAGGUGGGCGGAAUUCGUGGUGUAGCGGUGAAAUUCUUAGAUAUCACGAAGAACUCCGAUUGCGAAGGCAGUUCACUGGACUGCAACUGACACUGAGGCUCGAAAGUGUGGGUAUCAAACAGGAUUAGAUACCCGGGUAGUC
rnacentral:rRNA from 1 species